rnacentral:lncRNA from 1 species
AUGGCGUGUGAGGCCCUGCGUGGGGGCCUCUGGGGAAGCCGUUCACCUGGGCCACCUUUGCACAGGUUGAGGAAUGUGGCGUGGACACAGAGCGAACAUGAGCCUGCUCUUCUGCACUCCCUUUCGUCAGAGCGGAGGUGGUGCCGGGAGGAGGAGCCAUCUGUGGAGUCCAAGCAGCAAUGUGUGACUAGCAUUUGCAGGCGCCGUGUGCGUGGCCAGAAACGGACACUACGUGGCCCUGCUUGGGCCUCUAUGGUGGCAGGGCCUAGGGCAUGGAGAAAUGAGCCAGAGAAGGGGCCGUGAAAGUCUUGAAAGUAGACUUGACAUUCGUGGAGGAGCUUGGUGUGCUGAGACGCAGGUGACCGUGCUGGGGCAUAUUUACUAGGCCCUGCUGCCUCUUCCCCAUGAGCAGGGCAUGGUGGGAACAAGCCCAGGGUAGGGAUCUCCACAGCCUGGAGCCCAAGGAGGAGCCCACUCCACCAAGUCAGAGGUGGAACUCAGGAAGGCCUGCUGAGAAGCUCAUAGAAGCAGAUUGUUUUGGUUUGUUCUGACUGAAUACCAGGCCGCCCUGUGGGAGAAUUUCACAGAGGGUGAUUUGUCCUCAAUAGGAGGCAAUGUUGCCAGCCAGGGAUAUUUGGGGAUGUAUAGAGACAUUUUUGGUUGUUACAACUGAAAGUUUCCUGGGUAACGGCUACAAAAUAUCCUACAGUGCUGUCCUACGGGAUAGUGAGUCCCCCAUACAAACUAACGAGGAUCCAGCCCCAAAUGUCAAUAGCACUGGGGUCUGACAAAUAAAUUUUUAGUAUCUUUUUCCCUAAGUUGUUAGUGCCCUGUGUGAGGUGUGGUGUGUGAGAGGCUGGUGCCACUGGUGGUAAAGAGAAUUUACCCAUAGCCAAGAAACACAGAAAAGUUAAGAGUUUAUUGGGCUGGGGAUUUCAGUGGUUCUGCCCCCUGCCUCGAAAGUGCAAGGUCCCAAGUUCGAUCCCUGGUAACAACAAAGAAAAAAGUCCCUUAAAAAAAAAAAAAAAGUUUAUUGAUGCAGUGCAUUGGGGAAGGCAUAGAGAGGAUGUGUUCCAGAGAAGUCAGAGUGAAGGCUGAGAUUUUUAGAUUUGAUUUUAACCUGAGGAGGGGUCUAGAAACGUGGGCAUGGGGUUCCCGUGUCCGUCCAUCCCAGGUCUGAAGAGGGCAGAGAGUGUUUGAAGACUGAUGUGAAGUUUUUGUUCGACAGGGUCCAGGGCCCUUGGCAUUGCUAGAAACAGUCCUUCUGGGUAAAAUAAAUUAACAAAUAUGUAAAGAUUGUCUAAUGUUAGUGGUCAAGGAGAUCAGAAUAAACUAUAUAUGUGUGUGCUUGAGAAGGACUUUUGAGUUGUAUUGGGAUAGGGGAAGAAAUGGCUAGAUUAUCUGUGAUGUAUGCAUAGUUCUUAGGCAUAGCUCAUGAGGUGGAAGUUAAUGUUCUACCACAGACCCACCACUCAGGUGCAGUGUGCACUUUAGAGAAACAAUGAUAAAAUAACCAUGAUUCCUAAUAACUAGGUUACUCAGGCUAGGCUAAGAUUUGUGAUCCUGCUUCAGCCUCCCAGAAUGCUGGGAUUAUAAGCCUGUGCCACCAUGUCCGGCUAUAUUUUUAGUUACUUUCUUGAGAAUGUGUACUUUUGCUUGCUGCAGGACCACCAGCAGUCAAGGCUCCUGAAAAGGACCUGGAGCUUUUAGAAAAGUGGAAUCAGCAUCAGUCUGAACAAAUGGGCUUGGGGCCCAGCAACCAGGUGGGACAAGCUCCCUAGCACUGGCCAGUUCUGACUUGUUGAUCCUUUUCCUUGUGCAACUGUGCCACCCACCCCUCCCUCCGCCCUCUGCACAGCUCACCCAGCAACUAACCCCGGAGCCUCUGAGAAUGGUUGGUUGGAGUUCUCCCUGGAGUUGAGCCUUCCCUGGCCUCAAGGCAUCUGUUUUUCUUUGUCAGGUUGGACAACUCAGGACGACAGAGACUUAGGUCUGUGUGAUCUCAAGGGCCGAGCUCAACCUGGAGUCUGCGGGGGAAGCCUUGAACAUUCCCCCACGUAUUUCUGGCUUCCGUCCAGCCUAGCGUAGAAAGUGGUGGUCAGGAUGUUCUGAACACCAGCCUCUCUCCACCCGAGCCCCAGGCCCUCACUUCUGAAGAUGAGCAUAGGACAUCACUUAGUUGUCCUAGACAAAAAUAACCCAGAGUGCUGCCUGCUCUCUCACCCUGUGAACAGCCAGGGCCCAGGCUAUGACUAAGUCUGCUGGGGGAAUCCAGAGGCCAGGACCCUUGCAAUGCUGGAGUCUAAAGGCUCCUGGGUCCUAAAGCUUCCUCUGUUUCCAAUAAGAUUUGUCUGAGAUAUUUCCCCAAUAAUUAGCUAAGCAAAGAGGAAAAGAGCACAUCAUUUUAUAAAAAUCUUUUUUUGUCUGUUUUUUUUUUACAGUGCUGGGGAUCAAAAUCAGGGCCUUGCAUGUGUCAUGUUUCAGUAGUAAAACACUACUGGACUGCCCCCUUACCCCUUAAGAGAGCUUUCAGGUAUGAAUGAUGGGUCCUUGGGAGGCUGAGGCAGGAGGAUCACAGCCUGGGCAAGUUGGUGGGACCCUACCUCAAAAGCAAAGCAAAACAGGCUGGGAUGUAGCUCAGUGGCAGAGGCUUUCCCUAGCAUAUAUGAGGCCCUGGGUACAAUCUCCACACACAACCCCCCAAGAAUAAAGAGCAUGUUUUUACUAUGCAAUCAAUUCUUGAGAAAUCUGGGGUAGGAAUUCUCCCAUUUUAGAAAUCUCCAGCUUCUUUUCUCCCAGACUCCUCUUUAUUCAUUCCUUCAGCAAAUAUUCCAUCUGUGGGAGACCAGGCCCUGGGUGAAGCGCAUGCACAGUCGAGAAGAGCCCGUUUCUUGUAUAAUAUUAGCCAGACUGACUCCGAGAUUUAACAUAGCAGUCAGGAAAAGAAGGGUACUAAUGAAAUAUUUGCCACACAAUUUCAACAUCCCAGGAAAUAAUGCUGUGGGUUCAAUCAGUCACUCUGGUGGUAGGUGAGGGAGCCCUUUAAAAGCAGGCAUCAGCAGAAGGGAAGGAUUCUUCAAGACUGGUUGUUUUUACAGACACCUCAAUCUGGUACAUUUCCUACGAAAAGAGUAUCCUUUUCUUUCAACAUUUGAGAAGUAUAAGUGAGCAUCAGUUUUAGAGAGGAACAGAAGAACAAAGCUCCCUUUCUGUAUUAACAAUAGAGUAGCUUAAUGUUGUUUUUUAAAGUUUCUACUGACCUGAAAAACACCGAGAGCUACGAAAUUGGAUUCGGAGUUGGAGGGUGAAGGAAUCCCGGAGCUGUGGGUGUGCAGCCACAUCAACAACAGAAACAAAUGACCAAGCAAAAUGGGCCUGGGUCCUGAAACACUAUGAAUCCUGGGCCCAGCAGGGAGCCCCUGCCACAUGACCUCUCAGCUUCCCUGGGACCAGGAAACAAAGGAGAGGGGAGGAGACCUGGGGACAAAGAUCAAGAGCUGUAGAAACCACCCCUGGGUGAGGAUGCCACCGUCACCCAGGUCUGAGUUUCAGCCUUGGUGUUUUACCUCACCCAGAAGAUAUUAAAAAUUUACCCAAGCUACAAAAGGACUAAGGAGAUGGGCACCACGCCUCAGGCACCAGCUCCUCCAGGCUGCCCCGUUGUGAGGAGAGACUUUUCGGCUAGAGCCCUCAACCCUCCUUUGGAGCUCCCCUCUGCCUGCCCAAAGAUCUCUGGAAAAACUGCCUCUCCCUCUGCAGCCGGCUAGGCAUUUGUCUUAGGCUGCUGCCCCUCUGCAGAGGGGUAAAUGCACUGCUGUCUUAAACAGGUGCCACCAGGAGACAAAAGUGGGACGGGAGAUUGUUUUUGUUAUUUGAUGUUGUUUAGAAAAAUGCAAAAGCAGGAGAAUGACCAGUGUAGAAGAAGGGACAAAGAACCAGGCCCCUGGAAGGCUGUGUGGUCUGUUUCUUCUGAGAACUGUGAAACUACCUCCUCUAGCUUCACAUUUAUGAGAUUUCCAUCAUUUGGACUCUCUCUCUCUCUUUCUCUCUCUCUCUCUCUCUCUCUCACACACACACACACACACACACACACACACACACACAAAUGAGCUAGAUGACUGGUCAAAUCUCCUGACUAGUCUGUGAACUUAAAUUUUGUAUAACAGGAAUAAAAUAUCAGUUCUUUUUAUUAGAAAUUUUACCUUGACCUUGUACCUGCUUCUACUGCUCUGAGCUCUCCUCUGGUUUAUGGACAAAUCUUAGAGUUGCAGGCUUUUGUGAGAUUCCUAUAGAUCUUAUGGAUCCUUUUCAGUAUAUGUGCUGCCGAAGUGAACACAAUUUUUUUUUUGCCGUACCAGGGAUCGAACUCAGGACCUUGUACUUGCAAGGCAGGCAUGAUGCCACUGAGCUAAAUCCUGGGCCCUUAGGGAUCCUUUUCUUUUUUUUUCUUCUAGGGAUCCUUUUCAAUAGAGUGAGGAUUCACAUUGACAAGGCCAGUCUCUUAAAAAUGGCCAAGUGGGGCCGGGGAUUUAGUUCAGUGGUUACACCUGCCUUGUAAGUCUAAUUGUUGUUCCACAAUAGCUUCAUCAACUACCCUCACUUUUGUAUCUUUACCAUCUCUUUCCAGGACUACAAAUAUGCUAAAAUUUUACUUCCUUGAAAAAGCAUCACCUUUUUUUUUUUUUUUUUUUUUUUGAGACAAGGUCUCCCUAUGUAGUUCUGGCUGGCCUUGACCUCACCAUGUAGCCUAGGCUGGCCU